ACAACCGGUUGCUGAUAGUGCAACAAUAUUCCAGAAUAGACCGCAGAUAGUCUGGACGUUGUUUAUCGGCGUAGCGGCAAAACGUAUGGCAGAUACGCCGACCCACGACGCCUCGCAUAACUUGCAAACCGACUGUGGUUUCGCUUAUGCAAAAGAAAGUAGAAUGGGUAGACUCUACCACAGACUAGAAACGAUUGUUUUAAUUUUUAAUCAUACAAACUGAAUGGGUUGCAUUUCUGACAACCGAUUUUUUCUACGCCACUGCGUCUGAUAUGAUACGAUCGAACAACUGAUGGAACGCCGGGUAUUUCCUGAUUGUGAAACCGACCCGUGGAAGAUCCGCAAACGUUUCCCUGGUAUUCGUUAAAAUUGACGCGAGCUGAGAAAUGAAGACGUAACGAGGUGUAAAACGCCUCGAGGAAGUUUACCUUCGAUUUCUCGAUUAUAACAACAGAACGAUUUCAGCAAUGCUAGAUAUUGCGUG